rnacentral:rRNA from 1 species
GACGAACGCUGGCGGCGUGCUUAAUACAUGCAAGUCAACUAGGUCUUUUGCAGCAAUGUAAAAGAUUUGGUGGCGCACGGGUGAGUAUAACGUAGGCAAUCUACCAAAAGGUCUGACACAACCUGCCGAAAGGCAGGCUAAUAUCAGAUGAUACAAAGAGCAGGCAUCUGCUUUUUAUCAAAGCUUCGGCGCCUUUUGAUGAGCCUACGCCCCAUUAGAUAGUUGGCGGGGUAAUGGCCCACCAAGUCUACGAUGGGUAACUGGUCUGAGAGGAUGAUCAGUCACACUGGAACUGAGACACGGUCCAGACUCCUACGGGAGCAGCAGUAGGAAUAUUGCUCAAUGGCCGAAAGGCUGAAGCAGCAACGCCGCGUGAAGGAUAGAAA